rnacentral:rRNA from 1 species
UUUAAUUGAAGAGUUUGAUCAUGGCUCAGAUUGAACGCUGGCGGCAGGCUUAACACAUGCAAGUCGAGCGGUAGCACAGGGGAGCUUGCUCCCCGGGUGACGAGCGGCGGACGGGUGAGUAAUGUCUGGGAAACUGCCUGAUGGAGGGGGAUAACUACUGGAAACGGUAGCUAAUACCGCAUAACGUCGCA